GUUUGCAAAGUUGUUUUUGGACGCUGAAAAGAUGUCUGCAGAGAAAAAAGGGGAUAUUCUGUGCUUCUUUAUCAACGGGAAAAAGGUGACAGAGAAGCAUGCAGACCCUGAGACCAUGCUGCUGCCUUUCCUCCGAGAGAAACUGAGGUUAACUGGGACCAAGUCUGGCUGCGGCGGCGGAGGCUGCGGGGCGUGCACCGUCAUGGUGUCGCGCUACCAACCCGCCACCAAAACCAUCACGUAUCCUUUCUGAUAAACCACACGACCUUUCUGCUUGACCCUGAUUGGCUGAGAUUCAGACGAGCUGUGACCUCGUUAUUAGUCAUUUUUCAAACUUGAGCAAAUCAGCAACCAACUCUGCAAGAAAAGUCUCACAAAUUGUAAGAAAUAAGUAAAAGGUGACAGAAAAUUACAUGAAAAUUAGGUAUGUAUGUUUCGUGCAGAGCGAAAACAUACAAUGCCUUUGCAGAAAAAAGAGCAUAU